rnacentral:rRNA from 1 species
UGGGGAAUAUUGGGCAAUGGGGGAAACCCUGACCCAGCAACGCCGCGUGAAGGAAGAAGGCUUUCGGGUUGUAAACUUCUUUUACCAGGGACGAAGGACGUGACGGUACCUGGAGAAAAAUGCUCCGGCUAACUACGUGCCAGCAGCCGCGGUAAUACGUAGGGAGCGAGCGUUGUCCGGAUUUACUGGGUGUAAAGGGCGUGUAGGCGGAGGAGCAAGUCAGAAGUGAAAUCUCCGGGCUUAACCCGGAAACUGCUUUUGAAACUGUUCCCCUUGAGUACUGGAGAGGCAGGCGGAAUUCCUAGUGUAGCGGUGAAAUGCGUAGAUAUUAGGAGGAACACCAGUGGCGAAGGCGGCCUGCUGGACAGCAACUGACGCUGAGGCGCGAAAGCGUGGGGAGCAAACAGGAUUAGAUACCC